rnacentral:rRNA from 1 species
UACAUAGGGUGCAAGCGUUGUUCGGAAUUAUUGGGCGUAAAGGGCGCGUAGGCGGUGCUAUAAGUCUGUGGUGAAAUCUCUGGGCUCAACUUCGGAACUGCCUUUGAUACUGGAACUCUUGAGUCUGGGAGAGGUGAGUGGAACUGCGAGUGUAGAGGUGAAAUUAGUAGAUAUUCGCAAGAACACCAGUGGAGAAGGCGGCUAACUGGACCGGUACUGACGCUGAGGUGAGAAAGCGUGGGGAGCAAACAGG